rnacentral:rRNA from 1 species
GAGUUUGAUUCUGGCUCAGGACGAACGCUGGCGGCGUGCUAACACAUGCAAGUCUACGAGAAACGGGUAGCAAUAUCCGGAGUACAGUGGCGCACGGGGAGUAACACGUAGGCAACCUGCCUUUAGGACGGGGAUAAUCUCGCGAAAGCGGGCCUAAACCCGAUGACAUCGCGUUGCAGCAUUGUAAUGCGAUCAAACGCCCACAAGGCGCCUAGAAUGGGCCUGCGUCCCAUUAGGUAGUUGGCGGGGUAAUGGCCCACCAAGCCCACGAUGGGAGCUGGUCUGAGAGGAUGAUCAGCCACACUGGAACUGAGACACGGUCCAGACUCCUACGGAGGCAGCAGUGAGGAAUAUUGCGCAAUGGCCGAAAGGCUGACGCAGCGACGCCGCGUGAGGAUGAAGUCCGUUAGGAUGUAAACUCCUUUUGUAGGGGAUGAAUAGUUCCGAUUUAUGGGACCUGACCGUACCCUGCGAAUAAGGAUCGGCUAACUACGUGCCAGCAGCCGCGGUAAU